UUUGGAAAAAUCAAGUAAGAAUGUCUUUUGGUGUUCCCAGGUUUACGAUGAAGGUUUCCAACCCUAGUAAGCAAAUACCUCUGCCUCUCUAGCGACCGCUUUCUUCUCCGCCGAACGUCUCCUUCAAUAGUUCCGCAAUUCUAGCUUCGAAAUCACUCGUCAUAUCUAAAUCUUCCCAUAAUUCUUAAAAUCAGAAUCGAACCAAAAUUCCAAAUCAAACCAAAAUCCCAAUUAUUCCGUAAUUUUUCAAAUCGCUCAUAAAAUCAAUCCCAAAUCGAACCAGAAUCCCAAUCUUUCCUCAAACCCCAAAUAGCCACCGUAAACCCCAAUCUCACUGACUGCUCAAACCCUAUAAGAGCUUCUUGGUUUUGGCUCAACCGUUUUUGCUGUAUGAUGAGUAGAAGCAGACCGUGAUGCCCCACUCACAACUGUGAAAUUCAAAGAAAAACUAAUCGAUUCGAAAGCCUCGUUUUCGAUAGUAUUCGGCGUUGCUGCGUUCUUACUUCUUUGGUGUGUUUAGGUAAGUUUUUAAACUUCUUUGCUUAUAUGUUUCAUACAUGCUUAAGAUAU